UGAAGCAGCACAGUAGCGAUGUGUCUGUGUAUUAACCGGAGGAAAUGGAUGGAUCGUAUAGCCUAUUUAGAUCCCGAGCAGUAGGGAACACGCAACCACAAUCCCCCCAGCAUUCCCUUGAUUUAUGGCUCUAAUUCAGCCAAAGCAAAACUAGCUGUCACACACUUGCAGCUGAAACAAGUCCCAGUUUUAAGGCACGAAACUUAACAUUAAAGUCGUUGCAUUAAAGCGAGUUUAAAGGCAACCUGUCAGCUGCUGUCAUGAAAGUUACCCUGCCAAACGCAGUUGCUAACGGGUCCAUGAUAUCGAUUCAAAUUCGCCUAUAGAUCCCAUCGGUUUGUGGCCUUGGACUGUCGACGUUUCUACAAAAACUGCAGCGUAUUGUAUAUGUACACAUACUAUGAGGAUGUUAGAAUUUUUUGUUCGUUUUAUUUCCGGAGAACUCUGCAGCUACAUAUACAUAAAGGAGCAUUGAAUCUAAGUAUGAGUAAAUAUAGAGGAGAGUGCAUGACUUCAUGUCUACAGUCUUGUUUGCGGUCUGUAA